rnacentral:rRNA from 1 species
UACGUAGGGCGCAAGCGUUAUCCGGAAUUAUUGGGCGUAAAGAGCUCGUAGGUGGUUUGUCGCGUUGUUCGUGAAAACUCACAGCUCAACUGUGGGCGUGCGGGCGAUACGGGCAGACUGGAGUACUGCAGGGGAGACUGGAAUUCCUGGUGUAGCGGUGGAAUGCGCAGAUAUCAGGAGGAACACCGGUGGCGAAGGCGGGUCUCUGGGCAGUAACUGACGCUGAGGAGCGAAAGCGUGGGGAGCGAAUGGG